GACGGGACCGCACAAGCGGUGGAUGAUGUGGAUUAAUUCGAUGCAACGCGAAAACCUUACCUACCCUUGACAUGUCCGGAAUCCCGAAGAGAUUUGGGAGUGCUCGCAAGAGAACCGGAACACAGGUGCUGCAUGGCUGUCGUCAGCUCGUGUCGUGAGAUGUUGGGUUAAGUCCCGCAACGAGCGCAACCCUUGUCAUUAGUUGCCAUCAUUUGGUUGGGCACUCUAAUGAGACUGCCGGUGACAAACCGGAGGAAGGUGGGGAUGACGUCAAGUCCUCAUGGCCCUUAUGGGUAGGGCUUCACACGUCAUACAAUGGUCGGUACAGAGGGUAGCCAACCCGCGAGGGGGAGCCAAUCCCACAAAGCCGGUCGUAGUCCGGAUCGCAGUCUGCAACUCGACUGCGUGAAGUCGGAAUCGCUAGUAAUCGCGGAUCAGCAUGUCGCGGUGAAUGCGUUCCCGGGUCUU
rnacentral:rRNA from 1 species